UACGAAGGGGGCUAGCGUUGCUCGGAAUUACUGGGCGUAAAGGGAGCGUAGGCGGAUAGUUUAGUCAGAGGUGAAAGCCCAGGGCUCAACCUUGGAACUGCCUUUGAUACUGGCGAUCUUGAGUUCGGGAGAGGUGAGUGGAACUGCGAGUGUAGAGGUGAAAUUCGUAGAUAUUCGCAAGAACACCAGUGGCGAAGGCGGCUCACUGGCCCGAUACUGACGCUGAGGUGCGAAAGCGUGGGGAGCAAACAGG
rnacentral:rRNA from 1 species